GAAUAUUAGUCAAUGCUCGAAAGAGUGAACUAGCUAACUGAAAUCAAUUAAAAAUUGAUAACAUAAGGGAAAAUAAUGAUAUUACCUUAUUAUUAGUGUCGUCCAAAACUGGUGCCAGAAGACUCGGUAAGGCCAGAGACACAAACGUUAAUCGUCUUAAUCAGGCGUAAAGGGUUUGUAGGCGGCUUUUAAUUUACUUAUAUAUAUUUUAAAAUAAGUUAAGAAUAAAAGCUAGAAUCAAAUAGAGGAUAUAUCAAAUAAUGCUUAGAGUAGGUCUGAUAUCCUUAGAUACUAAGUAGAAUAUUAAAGGCGAAAGCUUUUUUCCAUAAAUGAUUGACGCUCAGAAACGAAGGUGAGGAUAGGAAAUAGGAUUAGAUACCCCAAAUACCCCUCUCUGUCAACGAUGAAUGGUAAUUAUUAAUAAUAAAUUUAUUAUUAAUGGCAAUGUUAACACGAUAACCAUUCCGCCUUGUGAGUACAACUGCAAAGUUGAAAACAAAAAAAUUAGUCGGUUUCGGAGCAAACGAAGUGAAGCAUGUUAUUUAAUUC
rnacentral:rRNA from 1 species